GGCCUGGUGGUGUAGUGGCAACACAUGCUCUGAGGAUUUUGCGACUAAGAAAACUCUAAGACAAGGCCCUUGUUCGACUCAAGGUCAGGCUG